CAUUAGUAUUAUUAUUAUUAUACUUAGGUACUGCUUGAAGAGGUAGGGAGAAAGCUACGUGAGUUGACCCCUGCUGACCUGGAGGAUGGUGUACGGCUGGUGAUAGCGGCCCGGUCAGAUUAUAAAGUCUGGAAAUCCGGACUAGACAACGCGUACAGGAAUUUUAUUGCCUCUGAUCCUACCCCACCUCUGCAAGCAGUUUUACUAUCCAUCCUGUAAAAUAUAAAUAUCUCAGUUUAUUUUAUAGAGGCUCAAAGCAAUAAGCUUUCACGGGAAAAAUUAUGUGCUUUUUUUAAAUAUUCAUCUUAUACAUCGUUCAUUCAUAUUUUUCAGCCCUUUUUUGGCCAGGAUAGGCAGAUUGUCAUGAAUAUCAUGUUGAAAUCACAAUGAAUGAAAAACAAAAAACCCCGGUCCAAAAUAAGUUAACUAGAGAAGUCGGCAGCUUAAUUUUGUAAUGAUAUGCAUUUCUAAGUGUUUACACAAAUUAGGUCUGUUUAUCAAAAUAUAUUUUAGUUUAUUAAAAAAAGUUCAACAAUUUUCAUUUGAUUUUUGUUGUAGAAUUUUUAGCAGAAUUUUUGGGUCUGCUCACGUAAUUUCAAGUGACCCUUCUUGCGCAUUUGUACUAAAGGACAACCAUGGAAAAAUUAUCCAAAUUUAACUCCCUUUAAAACAUAAAAACAACGUUAUCUUUCACAUUAUUGAUCAGAUAAAUAAAUUAAGGCUACUCGAAAGUUACUUUAAUCUCAAUUUGACCUUGUUCUAUUUUUACCUCCUUCACAAAGUACUUUAUCAAACAAUGCAAAAAAAAUAGGUUAAAGAACACAUUUUCUUUGGUGUACGCAAAAAACUUUGUUAUUUAUUCCUGAUUGUACUUUUCACUUUAUCAGUUGCAGCUUUUUUUUUACUGUUAAAGGCAUUCAAUAUGUUUUUCUUGCCUUUCAGACGUGAUCACAUUUUUGUAGAGUUGUUUAAUGUUAAAAUUCUAAAAAUUGUUAUAUUUUUAUAUUUAAAAUUGGAAUAAACUUUAACAUCUUU